AGCUCCUUCCCGCAAGCGUUUGC
rnacentral:siRNA from 1 species